GUGCUGAGUAAAGAGAGACCUUAGGACUAUAAGCAUCAGGUUAAGAAUACCUUACUGCACAUUCAAAGACUGUCAGUGGACUCAAACUUCGAUUCAUCCAGUGUAGAGAAGGGCUGCAGUAAGGACAGGCUUCCCAACAUUGCCUCACCAAUGUGUCUUAACCCUUCCCUGGAAGACCACACUUCUACAUGGAAAAGAGUAGUUUAGUUUCAGUGUUGAUGAAAUCCUUGACCUUUUUGCUGAGACUUGCAGAUAGACCACAGACAAGACAACUGUAUUAUUGAAAGGCACAAUGUCAACUUGAAAAAAACAACUACACGUCCAACUGAAGAGUUUCUAUCUAAUAUUGUCCAAAGUAACCCCUUAAGAAAACUGUCAUUAGAAUGGAUUCAAUAAUAUUUUUCUCUCUGUUUCCAAUUCUUAUAUUUUGUGCAUUUGACAUCGCUUUGCAGUUUCUCAGUUUCACCCUUGGUUUUGAUCGUGCAUACCUUUUCCCAGGCCUUACAGAAAAGAGUUCACCAACAGCAGGGCUGAAAUGGAAGAGGCAACAGGCAGGUGUGUGCCCAGAGAAUAUAGCGGACCUGAGCUUCUUUGGAAUUGUUGCACUUAGGGCUAGAGCUAGGUGACAUUUGUCAGACUAAACUUUUUUUUUUUUGGUUGCAAGAAAGAAAGAAAGAAAGAGAGA